AGUGAACGCUGGCGGUAGGCCUAACACAUGCGAGUCGAACGGCAGCACAGUAGGAGCUUGCUCUUACGGGUGGCGAGUGGCGGACGGGUGAGGAAUACAUCGGAAUCUACUUUUUCGUGGGGGAUAACGUAGGGAAACUUACGCUAAUACCGCAUACGACCUACGGGUGAAAGCAGGGGAUCUUCGGACCUUGCGCGAUUGAAUGAGCCGAUGUCGGAUUAGCUAGUUGGCGGGGUAAAGGCCCACCAAGGCGACGAUCCGUAGCUGGUCUGAGAGGAUGAUCAGCCACACUGGAACUGAGACACGGGCCAGACUCCUACGGGAGGCAGCCGUGGGGAAUAUUGGACAAUGGGCGCAAGCCUGAUCCAGCCAUACCGCGUGGGUGAAGAAGGCCUUCGGGUUGUAAAGCCCUUUUGUUGGGAAAGAAAAGCAGCAGGUUAAUACCCCGCUGUUCUGACGGUACCCAAAGAAUAAGCACCGGCUAACUUCGUG
rnacentral:rRNA from 1 species